rnacentral:rRNA from 1 species
UUUAAAUUGAGAGUUUGAUCCUGGCUCAGGACGAACGCUGGCGGCGUGCCUAACACAUGCAAGUCGAGCGAUGAAACUUCCUUCGGGAAGUGGAUUAGCGGCGGACGGGUGAGUAACACGUGGGUAACCUGCCUCAAAGAGGGGGAUAGCCUCCCGAAAGGGAGAUUAAUACCGCAUAACAUUAUUUUAUGGCAUCAUAGAAUAAUCAAAGGAGCAAUCCGCUUUGAGAUGGACCCGCGGCGCAUUAGCUAGUUGGUGAGGUAAGGGCUCACCAAGGCGACGAUGCGUAGCCGACCUGAGAGGGUGAUCGGCCACAUUGGAACUGAGACACGGUCCAGACUCCUACGGGAGGCAGCAGUGGGGAAU